UGGGGAAUAUUGCACAAUGGGCGAAAGCCUGAUGCAGCGACGCCGCGUGAGGGAUGACGGCCUUCGGUUUGUAAACCUCUUUCAGUAGGGACGAAGCGCAAGUGACGGUACCUGCAGAAGAAGCACCGGCUAACUACGUGCCAGCAGCCGCGGUAAUACGUAGGGUGCGAGCGUUUUCCGGAAUUACUGGGCGUAAAGAGCUCGCAGGCGGUUUGUCACGUCGUCUGUGAAAUCCUAGGGCUUAACCCUGGACGUGCAGGCGAUACGGGCUGACUUGAGUACUACAGGGGAGAGUGGAAUUUCUGGUGUAGCGGUGGAAUGCACAGAUAUCAGGAAGAACACCGAUGGCGAAGGCAGGUCUCUGGGUAGUAACUGACGCUGAGGAGCGAAAGCAUGGGUAGCGAACAGG
rnacentral:rRNA from 1 species